CAGAGUGAUGCCUGAGUAAAGGAUAGUUUUGAUAGAACUACUCACGUGGAUCCCACUCACUCU
rnacentral:tRNA from 1 species